AUUGAACGCUAGCGGCAUGCCUUACACAUGCAAGUCGAACGGCAGCACGGGGGCAACCCUGGUGGCGAGUGGCGAACGGGUGAGUAAUAUAUCGGAACGUGCCCAGUCGUGGGGGAUAACGUAGCGAAAGUUACGCUAAUACCGCAUACGAUCUACGGAUGAAAGCGGGGGAUCGCAAGACCUCGCGCGAUUGGAGCGGCCGAUAUCAGAUUAGGUAGUUGGCGAGGUAAAUGCUCACCAAGCCAACGAUCUGUAGCCGGUCUGAGAGGACGACCAGCCACACUGGGACUGAGACACGGCCCAGACUCCUACGGGAGGCAGCAGUGGGGAAUUUUGGACAAUGGGCGCAAGCCUGAUCCAGCCAUUCCGCGUGCAGGACGAAGGCCUUCGGGUUGUAAACUGCUUUUGUACGGAACGAAAAAGCCUUGGCUAAUACCCAGGGUCCAUGACGGUACCGUAAGAAUAAGCACCGGCUAACUACGUGCCAGCCGCCGCAGUAA
rnacentral:rRNA from 1 species